UAACAAGGAUUCCCCUAGUAACUGCGAGUGAAGCGGGAAAAGCUCAAAUUUAAAAUCUGGCGGUCUUCGAUCGUCCGAGUUGUAGUCUGGAGAAGCGUCUUCCGCGCUGGACCGUGUACAAGUCUCUUGGAACAGAGCGUCGUAGAGGGUGAGAAUCCCGUCUUUGACACGGACUACCAGUGCUUUGUGAUGCGCUCUCAAAGAGUCGAGUUGUUUGGGAAUGCAGCUCAAAAUGGGUGGUAAAUUCCAUCUAAAGCUAAAUAUUGGCGAGAGACCGAUAGCGAACAAGUACCGUGAGGGAAAGAUGAAAAGCACUUUGGAAAGAGAGUUAAACAGUACGUGAAAUUGCUGAAAGGGAAACGAUUGAAGUCAGUCGCGUCGUCUAGAACUCAACCUUGCCUCGGCUCGGUGCAUUUUCUAGUUGACGGGCCAGCAUCAGUUUUGACCGUCGGAAAAAGGUCCUCGGAAUGUGGCACCUUCGGGUGUGUUAUAGCCUUGGGUCGUAUACGACGGUUGGGACUGAGGACCGCAGCACGCCUUUAUGGCCGGGGUUCGCCCACGUACGUGCUUAGGAUGCUGGCGUAAUGGCUUUAAACGACCCGUCUUGAAACACGGACCAAGGAGUCUAACAUGCCUGCGAGUGUUUGGGUGGUAAACCCGAGCGCGUAACGAAAGUGAAAGUUGGGAUCCCUGUCGUGGGGAGCACCGACGCCCACACCAGACCUUCUGUGACGGAUGUGCGGUUGAGCAUGUAUGUUGGGACCCGAAAGAUGGUGAACUAUGCCUGAAUAGGGUGAAGCCAGAGGAAACUCUGGUGGAGGCUCGUAGCGAUUCUGACGUGCAAAUCGAUCGUCAAAUUUGGGUAUAGGGGCGAAAGACUAAUCGAACCAUCUAGUAGCU
rnacentral:rRNA from 1 species